UCCUGUUACUUUUCUAGAUACACAGGUGCAUGAAUAGAUAGUCAGGCUCCUUCUUAUUACCUGUAUUCUCAUUAAAUACAUGACACACAAGUAGAGCAUUACAUUCGAGUUUUACAUCUCUCAGGCAACUCGGAGGUCAUCACAACCAUCUUUAAGUAUGAGGAAGUUCGUCUGGACUCCUUUAAAACUUGGCCAGAAGAUGCUAAAGCAGACCCCAGCAUGCUUGCAAAGCCAGGGUUAUUUUAUACAGGUGCUGGAGAUGCUGUCCAGUGCUUUCAGUGUGGUGCAAGAUUAAUACAGUGUAAGUUGGAGGACGAUCCUUGGGCAGAGCAUGCUAAACAAAUCCAAGCUGCCAGUUUGCUGCAUGAGAGCAGUCAAAGACAAGAACGAGAGUACAAGCAAAUUAACAACUUCGAAUGAGGUAAUAGUCUCAUCUUAAAGGGAAAACUAACAGUACAGUCAAUCAAAUACAUUUGAUAGACUCUUAAAGAUAAUAAGAACCCAAGAUAGUUGCCUCCCCCUUUACACUGAUGUCUGGCUGCAGGUUGCUCUUGAUACUUUUGGUUGUUCAGAUACAGUAUGUUUCACAUUGUAAUGCAACUGGCUGCGUUGAAUAUUCUGAAAAGUUCUUCUAUCAACCUUUUGCUCAAAAACUUAAAAAACAGGCAGAAGCAACUCAUCUGGAGAACACUGUCUCAAGUGCUUUGAAAGAAACAAACUCAUCCAUCACUGGUAACUAUAGUAAAUUAUGCAUUCAUGCACUUGAACACAUACACACACAAACCUUGCUAAUAAUUAGUUGAACAGGGUGUUUAAGAGAUGUGUGUAAUUUUGCUAUAACUACAAUAACAUUAUAUUAGCGCAGGUAAAGGGGAAAAGCAUUUAACAAAGGAUAUAUGGUUUGGGGGCAGGACCGUUUGCUUAGCUUGAAAGAGAGUGGAAUAAACAUGCUGGACAUCCCUGGAGACCAAACAGCUUUGAAAAUCCAUUUCAUAUGUUAGGCACAGGGCAUACUCAAACCUGAGAGUACUAAUAUGGAGCGUAUUGAAGCUUUUGAAAUUAAUUAUUUUGCAGUCUUCAAGGGUCUUUACAAAAUACUCAAUAAAACUUUAGUAUCCCUCUUUUCACAUGUUAAUCAUUUCCCUGAAACUCAUGCAUUUGCAAAUGUGUUUACCUGAACAAUGGCAUAGAUUCAAAUUUUACAUGGAGUUUUCCCAUAAGAAGAAAAUUGCUGCUGUUUAUGUUCAAAACAACAAUGUCUAUAAAUGCGCAAAUAAUAAACUAUAUUGUGUCCUUCAAAUAAGCACUAUUAUUAUUAUACUUAUUAUUAUGCUUAGAGAUACCUUGUCUGGGAUUUUAAAACAUUGACAGGUUUUACUUUUUUUUUUUUUUUUUUUUAAUUUACAGACCAAAGUCCUGAAGAAAACAUUUGGUUUUUAAAAGAAAAUGGCUUUUUUGUUCAGCUGAGGAAAACAUAUAACAACUUAAACUUCAGGAAAAUCUUCUCAUUGUCUGACUUUGUGCGUACUACCCCAGACCUCAAAAGUCUGUUUGCUUGGCUUCCCCUGAUUUCUAAGAGCCUGAAAAACAAGCCAGUCUGUCAAGUUUCCUUCUGAGGGAUCUGAGCCUCAUCACAGUCAUUGAAGGGGAAGUGGGCAGUGGAAAAUUAGCCUUGCUCAGGAGAAUUGCAAUUCUGUGGGCAUCUGGGAGCUGCCCUGUGCUGCAGAGGUUCAAGCUGGUCUUUUACCGCCCUCUCAACUCAUUGAGCAAUGAUCAGAGUCUGGCUGGAGCAAUUUCAGAAGAGCUGUGCAGCAUAGGCACACACCUGACUGAGGAGUCUAUCAAUGAUAUCAUCUACCACCUGAAAGACCAGGUCUUAUUCCUGCUGGAUGAUUACGGCGCUGCAGGUUCAGCUCCGAAAUGCAUUCAAGAUCUGAUUGUGAAGCACCACAUGAAUAAAGUUAGCGUGGUCAUUGGAGUCCAAAUGAACAGAACAGCAGCAGUGCGUCAGUAUGCAUCUUCAGUUCUCAUGAUCGCAGCAUUCCCAGUGUACUGCACUGUAUUUAUCUUGAAGAAUCUCGUCUCCCACAACAUUAGUCUUGUGGAAGGUUUUUUUGUUCAGCUGGGCAUGUCACAGUCGUUGUAAGGCAUUUUAAAAACACAACUUUUCACUAUUGCCAUUUGUGCUCUGUGGGUCCAGUACCGCCAAAAGAAUACGCACAACAAUGACAUUUGUGAAGCUUACCUGCACUAUAUUAAGCUGAAGCAUCUCCGUCAAUCAGAAAAGAUGAGAUGCAUGAUAUCAUUCAGUGGAGACCUUGCCUUGGACGGACUGUUUGACCAGUGCUUUGAGUUCAAUGAUAAAGACCUCGAAGAGGCAGGGAUUGACGCUGAAGAGGCUAUCCAUCUGGGUUUAUUGAGCAAGUUCACAGCCCAAAUGCUCAAGCCUGCGUACAAAUUCUUUCAUGCAUCUUUCCAGGAGUACCUGGCUGGCAAGCGCCUGAGUGAGCUCCUUGAAUCUGACUCCCAGGAACAUGCAGCGAAAGGCUGCCAUUAUCUGAAGAAAAUUGACACGUUCCUGAAGAUCAUGGUUCAUUAUAAAUUCUUUUUUGCUCUAUGCAUGCAGUUCCUCUGCAUUAGCCACUCAGAAAAUCGUCAUUCACUUGUUUUGUGUUGCUGAAAGCAAAGGGUUUUAUGAUUCCAGUUCAGAGAAUGGCAAGCAUGUGCCCAAUCAUGUGGAACUUUCUGUUCUUGAGGAGUUACUAAGCGUUGUCCUUCCUAUGGGAACUAAUUUUGACAUUUUAAAGGAUCAUUUUCUAGAGUUUGCAGUUGGAGUUGCUUAUUCUGGUAAUUCGGUCUCUGCCUGCGUUCCUCGUAUCCUGGAAUUCCUCACUGGUAAAAGUUUAAACCUUACAGUUUCAAGUGCGUUCAAUCAGUUUGUUAGAGAAUACCCUGAGUCGCUGGAAUUAUUGAGUGACAUAAACAUAGUAAUAUCUGGACACAAAAAAGAGCAAUUUCCAGACCUUGUGAAAAUGGGUAAGAUGUUAGAACCACAUGGCAAGCCAGUUGUUGAAGAAUAGUUUGCCUCGUCAUACCAACUUAUAAGUAGUGUUGCUGAGAAAACACGUACUUUGAGAAAUUCAGAGGGAUGAAACACAGACAACUUCCAGACUCCAUAGGUCAAACUUUCUUAACAGCAGAAGAUAAGUAUAAAAUGCCAUUGCUCACACUUAAUGUGCUUCAUGUGGAUGGAAUAGAUGAAAGGGACUGCAAGAAUCUGAUGGUGCUCUUUUCAGUUUUGGAACAAGUGGAGUUAACCUUGAGUAACAGUGAAGGAUUUCUUGAAAUUAUUCAGCCUGCUCUUGAGAUACACAAAGGGAUUUUCUGAAAAAUCAAAGUUCAUUGCACCCAUUUAAGUACACAGGAGGAAGAACUGAUUGUAUUGAUGUCUGCCCUUCAAUCGUUGCAUUUGACAUUCAGCCAAGUGCCAGAGUAUUUGAUGCAAAAUUUGGAUACAUUUUGUCAUCUUAAAGAGCUAUUAAUUGAUGGUCCAAGUGACAGCAAAGUGUUUGACAUGAUACCUAAUGGCUUCGGAAGUCUUCACCAUAUGGAAAAACUCAUUCUUUAGAAUGUGACCCUCAUAGAGGAUUCCAGCAGACUUGCCCAGUUUGUUCAGCAGUUUUCCAGUCUCCAGGUUUUCCACCUCAGUUGCAGUAUCUGCCCAGGGUUGGCUGAUAUCAUUACUUCACUUGCAAACUGCAAGAAGUUUGAACAGAUCUUCUUUAGAGGUUCUACUCACAGUGAUCUUGGCGAUUUACCUUUUGGUAAGAGGGUUGAGCAACCAGUUUAUGUACUGUAGAGGAUGCUCCAUGAGCAGCCAUAGAGAACUGGAGUUGUUCUAGAAAUGAGGAU